GGAGGGAUGCCGGAGCGGUUGAACGGCCCUGACUCGAAAUCAGUGGGACGGCAACGUCACGGGGGUUCGAAUCCCUCUCCCUCCGCCA
rnacentral:tRNA from 1 species